rnacentral:rRNA from 1 species
GCGUUAAGUUGCAGGGUAUAGACCCGAAACCCGGUGAUCUAGCCAUGGGCAGGUUGAAGGUUGGGUAACACUAACUGGAGGACCGAACCGACUAAUGUUGAAAAAUUAGCGGAUGACCUGUGGCUGGGGGUGAAAGGCCAAUCAAACCGGGAGAUAGCUGGUUCUCCCCGAAAGCUAUUUAGGUAGCGCCUCGUGAAUUCAUCUCCGGGGGUAGAGCACUGUUUCGGCUAGGGGGCCAUCCCGGCUUACCAACCCGAUGCAAACUGCGAAUACCGGAGAAUGUUAUCACGGGAGACACACGGCGGGUGCUAACGUCCGUCGUGAAGAGGGAAACAACCCAGACCGCCAGCUAAGGUCCCAAAGUCAUGGUUAAGUGGGAAACGAUGUGGGAAGGCCCAGACAGCCAGGAUGUUGGCUUAGAAGCAGCCAUCAUUUAAAGAAAGCGUAAUAGCUCACUGGUCGAGUCGGCCUGCGCGGAAGAUGUANNNAAAGCGUAAUAGCUCACUGGUCGAGUCGGCCUGCGCGGAAGAUGUAACGGGGCUAAACCAUGCACCGAAGCUGCGGCAGCGACACUCAGGUGUUGUUGGGUAGGGGAGCGUUCUGUAAGCCUGUGAAGGUGUGUCGUGAGGCAUGCUGGAGGUAUCAGAAGUGCGAAUGCUGACAUAAGUAACGAUAAAGCGGGUGAAAAGCCCGCUCGCCGGAAGACCAAGGGUUCCUGUCCAACGUUAAUCGGGGCAGGGUGAGUCGACCCCUAAGGCGAGGCCGAAAGGCGUAGUCGAUGGGAAACGGGUUAAUAUUCCCGUACUUGGUGUUACUGCGAAGGGGGGACGGAGAAGGCUAUGUUGGCCGGGCGACGGUUGUCCCGGUUUAAGCGUGUAGGUGUGUGUUCCAGGUAAAUCCGGUUCACUUUAACA